rnacentral:rRNA from 1 species
ACACGGGGGGCGCAAGCGUUAUUCGGAAUUAUUGGGCGUAAAGGGCGCGUAGGCGGUCUUGUCGGUCAGAUGUGAAAGCCCAGGGCUCAACCCUGGACGUGCAUUUGAAACAGCAAGACUUGAGUACGGGAGAGGAAAGCGGAAUUCCUGGUGUAGAGGUGAAAUUCGUAGAUAUCAGGAGGAACACCGAUGGCGAAGGCAGCUUUCUGGACCGAUACUGACGCUGAGGCGCGAAGGCGUGGGUAGCGAACAGGAUUAGAAACCCUAGUAGUCC